rnacentral:rRNA from 1 species
CCUACGGGAGGCAGCAGUGGGGAAUAUUGGGCAAUGGGCGCAAGCCUGACCCAGCAACGCCGCGUGAAGGAAGACGGCUUUCGGGUUGUAAACUUCUUUUCUGCGGGACGAAGAAAGUGACGGUACCUCAGGAAUAAGCCACGGCUAACUACGUGCCAGCAGCCGCGGUAAUACGGGGGUGGCAAGGGUUAUCCGGAUUUUAUGGGUGUAAAGGGCGUGUAGGCGGGAAGGUAAGUCAGAUGUGAAAACUGAGGGCUCAACCCUGAGCCUGCAUUUGAAACUGUUUUUCUUGAGUGCUGGAGAGGCAAGCGGAAUUCGGUGUGUAGCGGUGAAAUGCGUAGAUAUACGGAGGAACACCAGUGGCGAAGGCGGAUUGCUGGACAGUAACUGACGCUGAUGCGCGAAAGCGUGGGUAGCAAACAGGAUUAGAUACCCUAGUAGUC